rnacentral:tRNA from 1 species
GCGAGAGUGGCGGAACUGGCAGACGCGCUGGACUUAGGAUCCAGUGGGUAACUCCUUAGGGGUUCGACUCCCCUCUCUCGCA